CAAGUACAUAGCCGAGUAACUCAGGCAGCUACUAUAGCCUAUAAGAGCUAUAGAGAUAGAUCUUCACAUAUCAAACGAUACAACAGACAGAGAGAGCUGAGUUUUGUUUGUACAAGAACGUGAAAGAACAAUGGAGGGCGUCGGCCACAAGAACCUGCAGCCUCCACUAGGCUACCCGACUGUGGACGACUAUUCGGAGAAGCAAGGCGCGGCGUCGCCACGCGCCGGACAAACAAGCAGAGCGCGGGGACGAAAGACUAGUUUCAUCGAUGGAUGUAUUGCUGCUCUGUGUUGCUGCUGGCUGUGUGACCUCUGCUGCGACUAGAGCAGGACAGACCUGAUGCAUACAAGCAUAGAGUCCAAGCGAGAGCCCUACACUAUAGUGUGCUGCAUACAUGUAUAUGUAUGUGUUAAGGAGUUGAAAGCAGAUAGUGGGUGUUUUUCUUCAUUAAUUACUUCUGUGUACAGUGAGAGUGAGAUAUAUGAUCGAUCCAUUUCAGUCUGAUGGAUCAAUGUAUCUAAUUUGAUCACAUUGCUUGUAUGCAUGAACAGUUAAUCAUGUUGGAUUGAUCAUAAGCA